UCGCGGCGGUGUGCGCAGAAGGGUCUGGGCUCGAGCCUGCCUGGAGCCGCCGCCGGUGCAGAUCUUGGUGGUAGUAGCAAAUACUCCAGCGAGGCCCUGGAGGACUGAUGUGGAGAAGGGUUUCGUGUGAACAGCCGUUGCACACGAGUCAGUCGAUCCUAAGCCCUAGGAGAAAUCCGAUGCAAACGGCGAUGGGAAACGCAAAAAAUGACUCGUUGUCACGAUGAGACAGAGACCCAUUGAUCGGGCGAAAGGGAAUCCGGUUCCUAUUCCGGAACCCGGCAGCGGAACCGUUGUUUGUCGGGCCCUCGCAAGGGGUUCGUCAGGGCAACCUAAAAGGGCCCGGAGACGCCGUCGGGGGCCCCGGAAAGAGUUUUCUUUUCUGCAUGAGCGUUCGAGUUCCCUGGAAUCCUCUCGCAGGGAGAUAGGGUUUGGAACGCGAAGAGCACCGCAGUUGCGGCGGUGCACGGGAAUUCCCGACGGACCUUGAAAAUCCGGGAGAGGGCCACGUGGAGGUGUCGCGCCGGCUCGUACCCAUAUCCGCAGCAGGUCUCCAAGGUGAAGAGCCUCUAGUC
rnacentral:rRNA from 1 species